rnacentral:rRNA from 1 species
GAUGAACGCUGGCGGCGUGCCUAAUACAUGCAAGUCGAGCGAACGGACGCGAAGCUUGCUUUUCUGAUGUUAGCGGCGGACGGGUGAGUAACACGUGGAUAACCUACCUAUAAGACUGGGAUAACUUCGGGAAACCGGCGCUAAUCCCGGAUAAUAUUUUGAACCGCAUGGUUCAAAAGUGAAAGACGGUCUUGCUGUCACUUCUCGAUGGAUCCGCGCUGCAUUAGCUAGUUGGUAAGGUAACGGCUUACCACGGCAACGAGGCAUAGCCGACCUGCGAGAGUGAUCGGCCACACUGGAACUGAGACACGGUCCAGACUCCUACGGGAGGCAGCAGUAGGGAAUCUUCCGCAAUGGGCGAAAGCCUGACGGAGCAACGCCGCGUGAGUGAUGAAGGUCUUCGGAUCGUAAAACUCUGUUAUUAGGGGAGAACAUAUGUGUAAGUAACUGUGCACAUCUUGACGGUACCUAAUCAGAAAGCCACGGCUAACUACGUG